UAUUGGUCAAUGGGCGGGAGCCUGAACCAGCCAAGUCGCGUGAGGGAUUAAGGCCCUACGGGUCGUAAACCUCUUUUGCCGGGGAGCAGGGCGGCGGACGUGUCCGCCGUUUGAGAGUACCCGGAGAAAAAGCAUCGGCUAACUCCGUGCAAGCAGCCGCGGUAAUACGGAGGAUGCGAGCGUUAUCCGGAUUUGUUGGGUUUAAAGGGUGCGGAGGCGGGAUUUUAAGUCAGCGGUAAAAAGUCGGGGCUCAACCCCGUCCGGCCGUUGAAACUGGAGGCCUUGAGUGGGCGAGAAGAAGGCGGAAUGCGUAGUGUAGCGGUGAAAUGCAUAGAUAUCACGCAGAACCCCGAUUGCGAAGGCAGCCUUCCGGCGCCCUACUGACGCUGAGGCACGAAAGUGCGGGGAUCG
rnacentral:rRNA from 1 species